rnacentral:rRNA from 1 species
CGGGCCCCGCACAAGCAGCGGAGCGUGUGGUUUAAUUCGAUGCUACACGAAGAACCUUACCAGGGUUUGACAUGCAAGUGGUAGGAAGCCGAAAGGUGACCGACCCUUCGGGGAGCUUGCACAGGUGCUGCAUGGCUGUCGUCAGCUCGUGUCGUGAGAUGUUCGGUUAAGUCCGCUAACGAGCGCAACCCUCGCUGUGUGUUAUAUGUGUCACACGGGACUGCCGGUCUUAAGCCGGAGGAAGGUGGGGAUGAUGUCAAGUCAGCAUGGCCUUUAUAUCCUGGGCUACACACACGCUACAAUGGCCAACACAAUAGGUUGCUAAGCCGCGAGGUGGCGCCAAUCCAUAAAGUUGGUCUCAGUUCAGAUUGUAGGCUGCAACCCGCCUGCAUGAAGAUGGAGUUGCUAGUAACCGCAGGUCAGCUAUACUGCGGUGAAUACGUUCCCGGGGCUU